UCACUUUCUUCGAAUUCACUUUCUUUUCUUUCACUUUCUUCUUUAUUCACCGAUGAGGAUGAUUCGAGAAAUGUCUCUUUUUCUUCUUCGUCGUCUACAACAACAAAGAAUAGACAAGAAGGAGCACCGACUACUACUGAUGAGGAUGAUGCUUUUGUUCUUGUGGACCACGAAAUGAUGGUGAAGAAACAAGAA
rnacentral:ribozyme from 1 species